GACGAACGCUGGCGGCGUGCUUAACACAUGCAAGUCGAGCGGUAAGGCCCUUUCGGGGGUACACGAGCGGCGAACGGGUGAGUAACACGUGGGUGACCUGCCCUCAGCUCUGGGAUAAGCCUGGGAAACCGGGUCUAAUACCGGAUAUGACUCCAUGACGCAUGUUGUGGGGUGGAAAGCCUUGUGCGGCUGAGGAUGGGCCCGCGGCCUAUCAGCUUGGUUGGUGGGGUGAUGGCCUACCAAGGCGACGACGGGUAGCCGGCCUGAGAGGGCGACCGGCCACACUGGGACUGAGACACGGCCCAGACUCCUACGGGAGGCAGCAGGUGGGGAAUCUUGCGCAAGUGGGCGAAAGCCUGACGCAGCGACGCCGCGUGAGGGAUGACGGCCU
rnacentral:rRNA from 1 species